UGUAGAAGAGUUAAGAAGGGAAUCGUGCGGGAAGGGGGCGGAUGUAGUCAGGCCGUGGUUGUUACGGCGCGGGCGGUACGGUAUCAGUGCGAGGCCGGCUAUCAGCCGUCUAACGUCAAAGUCAAUGCUAAGGAAGAACGAUGCAAUAAAUGAAAAUCAGACUUGACUGAUACGUCUAAGGAGGGAGGAAUACGUCGUCGAAGUUGCAAGUGGAUUGAAAAAGUCAAAAGGAAUAGGGGAUAAAAGUUCAAAGAAAAGAAACCGGAAGGGAUUCGUGAAAAAUAAUUAAAAGGAUAGAAAGAGAAAGAAGAAAAGUAGAGGUGUAAUUUUGAGUUCCGGUUGGUGCUCGAGCGACCUCUUCUCUUAUCUUGUGGAGUUUUCUAAAGAGAAAGAGCGAGUGGGAGAGAUAGAUAAACGAGUGAGAGAGGGAAAGGAAA